rnacentral:lncRNA from 1 species
CUUCUCAGUGAGAUUUUCAAUUUCUUCACCCUUGCAGAUUGAAAUCGAUUAGUUCCAGCAUAUAUGCUGCAUCCCAAUACGAGCAAAGAUAUAUCUGUCAGUUUUGGUUCUAUAUUUUCCCAAUGGAAAUCACAAUCAUUUGGUUCCUGAUUCUAUCCACGUAGUGUAAUUGGGAAAAUUCCAUCAUGUAAUGCGGUUGAUUGUGAACCAGUGGAGCUAUUUUUGUUACCUGGUAACUCAAUUCUCACUUUAUAAAUCCCAG